rnacentral:rRNA from 1 species
AUGCAAGGGCACGGUACCCCAUGCCUUAGAAACUCCUCCUCGCGCUACUGGUGGCCUCACGCAAGCUGCGGCACUAUUUUCACGGGUCACCCCAUCAAGGUCGUCUCGUCAUACCCCCUGGAGAGAGUGCUCAGGAGCCCUAAUUCAUCUGGAAGGGUCGCUGAGUGGAACAUAGAACUACAAGCGUUUCAGCUCGAAUUCAGCACGACCAGAGUCAUCAAGGGAGCAGCGUUGGCGGAUUUUGUGGCAGAAUGGACGGAGGCGCCAGGCCUCAAGGCCGACAAGGAUCGGUCCCUGUCCCCGGGAAGCGAGGCGCCAGAAGGCUGGGUCAUGUACUUCGAUGGGGCGUUCUCCAGGCAUGGCGCUGGGGCUGGGGCGGUGCUUAUAUCACCCGCUCAGGACAAGCUCUAUUACGCCAUGCAGCUCUGUUUCCAGCAAGGUGAAAAGGUCUCCAACAACAUAGCGGAGUAUAAAGGUUUAAUAGCAGGCUUGAAGGCCGCGACUGCCCUGGGGGUGAAACGCCUCACCAUCAAGGGCGAUUCACAGCUCCUUGUCAAUUUCUCCAACAAGGUGUACGAGCCGAAGGAUGAGCACAUGGAAGCCUACCUAGCGGAGGUCCGCAAGAUGGAGAAGCAGUUCUGGGGGUUGGAGUUGCAGCAUGUGCCCCGUGGCACCAAUCAGGAGGCCGACGACAUCGCCAAACGGGCGUCCAGGUGGUUACCUCAGGAGCCUGGCAUUUUCGAGGAGCGGCUCUUCAAGCCAUCAGCCCUGCCGUCAUUAUCUAACACGGCUCAGCCCCGGGAGGAGCUCCCCCAGCCACAUGCCUCAGGGGCUCCGGCCUGUGGCCCGGCCUCAGGAGCACGCCUGCUCCUGAUGAUGGAACCUCAGGAGGGAUGUUGGAUCGCGGAGCUCCGGAGUUACCUAAUGCAAGGGACCCUGCCGGAGAAGGAGGAGGAAGCGGAGCGAGGGCCAUUCGCAGUCUGGGGGCUGGACAUCUUGGGCCCGUUUCCUCGGGCGCCCGGGGGCUACCGCUACCUCUACGUCGCCGUGGACAAGUUCACCAAGUGGGCUGAAGUAGAGGUGGUCCGCACCAUUCCCGUGGGUUCCGUGGUCAAGUUCAUCAAGGGCAUCGUGAGCCGGUUCGGGGUGCCGAAUCGCAUCAUCAUGGACAACGGUUCGCAGUUCACCAGUAACCUCUUCAAAACAUAA